rnacentral:rRNA from 1 species
AUGGAGCUGCUGUCCAAUGCCCCGGUGCACCACUCCGUGCCGGACAGGUACGUCUUCCCACCCAACAAGCGCCCCACCCUGCUCUCCGACGACCACAGCCCAGACGUCGCCUUCCCCGUCAUCGACCUGCACGGCGGCGCCCUCCCCGUCUCCGACCAUCGCCGCCGCCACGCCGCCGAGGAGAUCAUCCGGGCCGGCAAGGAGUUCGGCUUCUUCCAGGUGGUGAACCAUGGCGUGGGGGAGUGCGUGGUGCGGGGGUUCCGGGAGGCGGCGGCGGGGUUCUUCGCGAUGCCGGCGGAGGACAAGCUCCCCUACUGCUCCUACGACAUGAGCAAGCGCUUCCGGCUCGCCACCAGCACCUCCUACGACCGCGGCGAGACCCGGUACUGGCGCGACUACAUCAAGUUCCGCUGCUACCCGGCCUCCGACGAGAACGCGCGCCACUGGCCGUCCAAGCCAUCGAACUUCACGCCCAGACUCGUCGAGUACUCUGCGGCAGUGCACGAGCUGGCACAGACCAUCCUCUGUCUGAUCGCCGAGGGGCUGGGCCUCGACGGCGGCUUCUUCACCGGCGACCUCAGCGGCGGCGACACGCACAUGAGCAUCAACUACUACCCGCCGUGCCCGGACCCAACCCUCACGAUGGGCCUGCUCGCGCACUGCGACCGCCACCUCCUCACCGUGCUUUCCCAGGCUGAUGUCGCUGGGCUCCAGGCAAGGCACGGUGAAAGGUGGCUCCUCGUCCACCCCAUCCCCGGCGCAUUCGUCGUCAACUUUGGCCACCAGAUGGAGAUCGUCACCAACGGGGUGCUGGCCAGCGUGGAGCACCGCGCCGUCACCAACUCCGCUGUGGCGAGGAUGUCGGUGGCCACGCACGUGCACCCCACAGACGGGUGCCGCAUCAGACCGGCGUCAGAGAUGGUGGACGAGGCGAUGAAUCCAGCCAAGUACAGGGAAUUUGCUUUCAGCGAAUUCAUGGAGGCAUAUGAUGCGGCCGACGCCAGCAGGGAGGAAGUGCUAGAGUCCUUCAGGAUCAACCAUGAAUAG